rnacentral:rRNA from 1 species
UGGGGAAUUUUGGACAAUGGGGGAAACCCUGAUCCAGCCAUCCCGCGUGUGCGAUGAAGGCCUUCGGGUUGUAAAGCACUUUUGGCAGGAAAGAAACGUCAUGGGUUAAUACCCCGUGAAACUGACGGUACCUGCAGAAUAAGCACCGGCUAACUACGUGCCAGCAGCCGCGGUAAUACGUAGGGUGCAAGCGUUAAUCGGAAUUACUGGGCGUAAAGCGUGCGCAGGCGGUUCGGAAAGAAAGAUGUGAAAUCCCAGAGCUCAACUUUGGAACUGCAUUUUUAACUACCGGGCUAGAGUGUGUCAGAGGGAGGUGGAAUUCCGCGUGUAGCAGUGAAAUGCGUAGAUAUGCGGAGAAACACCGAUGGCGAAGGCAGCCUCCUGGGAUAACCCUGACGCUCAUGCACGAAAGCGUGGGGAGCAAACAGG